CGCCCCCUGCUGGGAGGGGAGGGGGCGGUACCACAGGGCGGGGAGCCGGGCUGUGUGUGUGACCCUAUGGAUGGGAUCCGGUUAGACCGUAUAGCCGGGCUCUGUGAUGGCCGUGUGUGUUGUCCGGUUCUCUGUUUUAAGCCCUGGAAGUGAUACUUGGGCCUGGAGCCGUGCGCUGCCUCCACACGGUGCCACAGAGUGGCAGCUGUCCAAGGACCAGCAAUUUGUCACAGCUCAUACAAGUGUGUUGCAAGCAGAGAGCACCCAGAAGCAGGUAAACAUCAACUCUGGGCAAACCCACAGCCACAAAAUACUACACCGCAGGAGGGAAUAGUGGCCUCGUUUCCAGACUGUACAGACUGCCAACAGACACUGUGGCCCAAGGACAUGCGGCAGUCAGGUUCCAGCACUAAAGGAACUGCCAUUGCUGUACCAGCAAGGUAAGCAUGUCCUUACUGCUAUGCUUAGACUGGCCAACAGGCACCUCUGACCCCAGUUAUCACAUCACAAACAUACUCUGAGGUUGCGGCAGUUCUGUGAGGCAGGGGAGACCCAUCAUAAAAAGAAAUGUGGAAUGAUUUUGAAAAGCAGGAUUUUCAGAAUAGUCACAGGAUUUAUACUGGUUUGGAUACUGGGCCAGCAGAAAUGCCUGCAUUAGAUUAGUGCUGCUGGAUGGAAAGCCCUCAUAACUUUGGCAUGCACACAGAUCCACUUGUCACAUGCCAGCAGCACAAUAAAAUAUCUUGUAAAGCUCAAGGGAAAAGCAGCCUUGACUUAUCUGGAUGCAAAAGACAGAAUUCAGCACCCGCAGCAAUGCACAAAAUCAGUUCCUGUUAUCAGCUUGGCGUAGAGCCACUAGCAGAGACAAGCUGCUCUCUCCAUGUGUCAUUUCAGUUGAAGCUUUUUGGAUUUUGGAGUGCAAUGCUGGGAUUACUGACACACCAGGUUUGUGAAGCAGGGAUCCCUUCUCAAAAUUUCCUUUGCAGUAAAACUAACCCCUGUGUAUCCUUCAACUCCCCUUCUUGCAGCACAGCCUGGUGGGGUGCGUGUGACAGGAUCUCCCCUUUUUUGCCUUCUUAUAUAGUAAUGAGCAUUGCCCUAACAGCACUUCUUAGGGCGCUGGCUUCCCUCAUUUCCAGAUUACCUUUUUUUUUUUUUCCCAGCUUUUCAAUUAAGCAGCAAUCAACUCCACUUCUACAAACCACUGGUCACAUUCUGCUCACAGUUACUGAUAAGAAUGCAGAUUUAAUUGCCUGCCCUCUGGUAAUGGGUGGAAUCUCCCAACUCUUCAUACCCACUGUGAGGAUUUUCAUCAGGCAGAAAUAUACUGGCCAUUUAGGGAAGUGAUGAAUGAUGAAUUACUUAAAUGAAGCUUCAGAUUGUGCUUCCCUCCUAAAUUGAGGAAGAUAAGCCAAAGAGAGCUCUCCUCCUGAGGCACAGCUUUUUAUCAUAUCGCAAAAGCAAGCAGCUCAAAAGAUUUCAGCUACAGAGCACCCUGCUUUGACAGCAGGUUAUACUGCCUGUCCUUUUGUGUGAGACUGACUAUCAGAUGUGAUCUGGGAUGAAAACAAGUUCUUGAACAGGCUAUUCUUAGUGCUGUGGUUCACAGCUGUUUCACACCCAAUUCUCUGUAGGUAGUUCUUUUUAUUCCCCACAAGGGUGUCUGUCCAUUACCCCCAGAUUAACAAUACCUUGAAGUCCCAGUUAUUCCAAAUGCAAAAACACAGCCCCCGCUGGGUUGACUCAGUUUUUAGUGGCAGAGGUAGUAUUUUAUUUUUCUUUUGAGCAUCCCUCCUCAAGGACACUAAAGAGUUUGUAAAACAUUACUGAGCAAAACCAAAACAUUACCAACAACAAAACUGCCAAAAAGGAAAACACAGCAGCAUUCAAAUAUUGGAAAACAUGAGAGCUAAAGUGCUUGAGAUCAUUUCUUAGCUAUGCACAUUCUGAGUCAAUCAUUCCCAUAUAAAAUCCAAUGCUAUUUUUCAAUCGCAACUGCCUGCCUGGUUAAGCUUCACCUUUAGUCUAUGGCAGGAUAAAACUACAAAGCCAGAGAGCCAUUAUGCAGAAGGGCUAGGAGCAACAGCUUUCUUUCUUUCACUCUUACUAAAAGUUAAUAAAUAGUAUUCAAAGAAACGCAUUUUCAACUUCAGGCAGAGGAAGUCUGACUUCAAGGGAAGUGACUGUAUGGGUUUCCCAUGCAAUGUAGUCACUAGCAGUGCCUGAAGCUGAACAAAGCUUCAGUGGGAUUCAUAAAGUGCUGUCUUUGAGUAUUUUAUGCCUAUCUUUAGGAGUGUUUUUCAAACCAGCACCAGGGUUGUGAGAUAUAAAAAAAAUACUGAAAUAACAGACUAAAUUUGAGAAGAUGCUGGAGCCAGACAGACAUUGCGUAGUGCACAUGGAAAUAUAAGAAGAAAACAAACAAACAAACAAAAAA